UACGUAGGGUGCAAGCGUUGUCCGGAAUUAUUGGGCGUAAAGAGCUCGUAGGCGGUUUGUCGCGUCUGCUGUGAAAACUCGGGGCUUAACUCCGGGCCUGCAGUGGGUUACGGGCAGACUAGAGUGCGGUAGGGGAGACUGGAAUUCCUGGUGUAGCGGUGAAAUGCGCAGAUAUCAGGAGGAACACCGGUGGCGAAGGCGGGUCUCUGGGCCGUAACUGACGCUGAGGAGCGAAAGCGUGGGGAGCGAACAGG
rnacentral:rRNA from 1 species